UACGAAGGGGGCUAGCGUUGCUCGGAAUCACUGGGCGUAAAGGGUGCGUAGGCGGGUCUUUUAAGUCAGAGGUGAAAUCCUGGAGCUCAACUCCAGAACUGCCUUUGAUACUGGCGAUCUUGAGUCCGGGAGAGGUGAGUGGAACUGCGAGUGUAGAGGUGAAAUUCGUAGAUAUUCGCAAGAACACCAGUGGCGAAGGCGGCUCACUGGCCCGGUACUGACGCUGAGGUGCGAAAGCGUGGGGAGCAAACAGG
rnacentral:rRNA from 1 species